rnacentral:rRNA from 1 species
UGGGGAAUUUUGCGCAAUGGGGGAAACCCUGACGCAGCAACGCCGCGUGAGUGAUGAAGGCUUUCGGGUCGUAAAGCUCUGUCAGAAGGGAAGAAAUGUAGGUGGCUAAUAUCCAUUCUACUUGACGGUACCUUCAAAGGAAGCACCGGCUAACUCCGUGCCAGCAGCCGCGGUAAUACGGAGGGUGCGAGCGUUGUUCGGAAUUAUUGGGCGUAAAGCGCGUGUAGGCGGUUUAUUAAGUCUGAUGUGAAAGCCCCGGGCUCAACCUGGGAAGUGCAUUGGAUACUGGUAGACUUGAGUACGGGAGAGGGUAGUGGAAUUCCUAGUGUAGGAGUGAAAUCCGUAGAUAUUAGGAGGAACACCGGUGGCGAAGGCGGCUGCCUGGACCGAUACUGACGCU